rnacentral:tRNA from 1 species
AUCUUUCUAGUAUUAAUUUAGUACAGGUGACUUCCAAUCACACAGUCUUGGUUAAACUCCAGGGAAAGAUA